UACGGGGGGGGCAAGCGUUGUUCGGAAUUACUGGGCGUAAAGGGCUCGUAGGCGGCCAACUAAGUCCGACGUGAAAUCCCCAGGCUUAACCUGGGAACUGCGUCGGAUACUGGAUGGCUUGAAUCUGGGAGAGGGAUGCGGAAUUCCAGGUGUAGCGGUGAAAUGCGUAGAUAUCUGGAGGAACACCGGUGGCGAAGGCGGCAUCCUGGGCCGGCAUUGACGCUGAGGAGCGAAAGCCAGGGGAGCAAACGGG
rnacentral:rRNA from 1 species